GGCAUGGCGGCAGCUACCAUGCAGUCGAGCGGUAGAGAGAAGCUUGCUUCUCUUGAGAGCGGCGGACGGGUGAGUAAUGCCUAGGAAUCUGCCUGGUAGUGGGGGAUAACGUUCGGAAACGGACGCUAAUACCGCAUACGUCCUACGGGAGAAAGCAGGGGACCUUCGGGCCUUGCGCUAUCAGAUGAGCCUAGGUCGGAUUAGCUAGUUGGUGAGGUAAUGGCUCACCAAGGCGACGAUCCGUAACUGGUCUGAGAGGAUGAUCAGUCACACUGGAACUGAGACACGGUCCAGACUCCUACGGGAGGCAGCAGUGGGGAAUAUUGGACAAUGGGCGAAAGCCUGAUCCAGCCAUGCCGCGUGUGUGAAGAAGGUCUUCGGAUUGUAAAGCACUUUAAGUUGGGAGGAAGGGCAGUUACCUAAUACGUGAUUGUUUUGACGUUACCGACAGAAUAAGCACCGGCUAACUCUGUGCCAGCCGCCGCGGUAAU
rnacentral:rRNA from 1 species